rnacentral:rRNA from 1 species
UACGUAGGGUGCGAGCGUUAAUCGGAAUUACUGGGCGUAAAGCGUGCGCAGGCGGUUGUGUAAGACAGGUGUGAAAUCCCCGGGCUUAACCUGGGAACUGCGCUUGUGACUGCACGGCUAGAGUACGGCAGAGGGGGGUGGAAUUCCGCGUGUAGCAGUGAAAUGCGUAGAGAUACGGAGGAACACCGAUGGCGAAGGCAGCCCCUGGGAUAACACUGACGCUCAUGCACGAAAGCGUGGGGAGCAAACAGGAUUAGAUACCCGUGUAGU